GGUGGCUCAGUGGUAGAGCACUUGCUUUGCAUGCACGAGGCCCUGGGUUCGAUUCCUCAGCACCA
rnacentral:tRNA from 1 species